rnacentral:rRNA from 1 species
UGGGGAAUAUUGCACAAUGGGGAACCUGAUGCAGCCAUGCCGCGUGUAUGAAGAAGGCCUUAGGGUUGUAAAGUACUUUCGGUGAUGAGGAAGGUACUUGGUCUAAUAGGCCAAGUAAUUGACGUUAAUUACAGAAGAAGCACCGGCUAACUCCGUGCCAGCAGCCGCGGUAAUACGGAGGGUGCGAGCGUUAAUCGGAAUGACUGGGCGUAAAGGGCAUGUAGGCGGAUGAUUAAGUUAGGUGUGAAAUCCCGACGCUCAACUUGGGAAUUGCAUUUAAAACUGGUCGUCUAGAGUAUUGUAGAGGAAGGUAGAAUUCCACGUGUAGCGGUGAAAUGCGUUAGAGAUGUGGAGGAAUACCGGUGGCGAAGGCGGCCUUCUGGACAGAUACUGACGCUGAGAUGCGAAAAGCGUGGGGAGCAAACA